rnacentral:rRNA from 1 species
ACCCGCUGAACUUAAGCAUAUCAAUAAGCGGAGGAAAAGAAACCAACAGGGAUUGCCCCAGUAACGGCGAGUGAAGCGGCAACAGCUCAAAUUUGAAAUCUGGUCCCCAGGGCCCGAGUUGUAAUUUGCAGAGGAUGCUUUUGGUGAGGUGCCUUCCGAGUUCCCUGGAACGGGACGCCAUAGAGGGUGAGAGCCCCGUCUGGUUGGAUACCGAGCCUCUGUAAAGCUCCUUCGACGAGUCGAGUAGUUUGGGAAUGCUGCUCUAAAUGGGAGGUAUAUGUCUUCUAAAGCUAAAUAUUGGCCAGAGACCGAUAGCGCACAAGUAGAGUGAUCGAAAGAUGAAAAGCACUUUGAAAAGAGGGUUAAAUAGUACGUGAAAUUGUUGAAAGGGAAGCACUUAUGACCAGACUUGGCCCCGGUGAAUCAUCCAGCGGUCCCCGCUGGUGCACUUUGCCGGGGUUCAGGCCAGCAUCAGUUCGCUCCGGGGGAUAAAGGCUUUGGGAAUGUGGCUCCCUCGGGAGUGUUAUAGCCCAUUGCGUAAUACCUUGUGGCGGGCUGAGGUUCGCGCUUUAUGCAAGGAUGCUGGCAUAAUGGUCAUCAGUGACCCGUCUUGAAACACGGACCAAGGAGUCGUCUUCGUAUGCGAGUGUUCGGGUGUUAAACCCCUACGCGUAAUGAAAGUGAACGCAGGUGAGAGCCCUCCAGGGCGCAUCAUCGACCGAUCCUGAUGUUCUCGGAUGGAUUUGAGUAAGAGCAUACGGGGCCGGACCCGAAAGAAGGUGAACUAUGCCUGUAUAGGGUGAAGCCAGAGGAAACUCUGGUGGAGGCUCGCAGCGGUUCUGACGUGCAAAUCGAUCGUCAAAUAUGGGCAUGGGGGCGAAAGACUAAUCGAACCUUCUAGUAGCUGGUUUCCGCCGAAGUUUCCCUCAGGAUAGCAGUGUUGAUUUCUCAGUUUUAUGAGGUAAAGCGAAUGAUUAGGGACCCGGGGGCGGCUUAUAGCCUUCAUCCAUUCUCAAACUUUAAAUAUGUAAGAAGCCCUUGUUGCUUAUUGAACGUGGGCAUUCGAAUGUAUCAACACUAGUGGGCCAUUUUUGGUAAGCAGAACUGGCGAUGCGGGAUGAACCGAACGCGAGGUUAAGGUGCCAGAGUAGACGCUCAUCAACACCACCAAAGGUGUUAGUACAUCUUGACAGCAGGACGGUGGCCAUGGAAGUCGGAAUCCGCUAAGGACUGUGUAACAACUCACCUGCCGAAUGUACUAGCCCUGAAAAUGGAUGGCGCUCAAGCGUCUCACCCAUACCUCGCCCUCGGGGUAGGAACGAUGCCCCGAGGAGUAGGCGGACGUGGGGGUCAGUGACGAAGCCCAGGGCGUGAGCCCGGGUCGAACGGCCCCUAGUGCAGAUCUUGGUGGUAGUAGCAAAUACUUCAAUGAGAACUUGAAGGACCGAAGUGGGGAAAGGUUCCAUGUGAACAGCGGUUGGACGUGGGUUAGUCGAUCCUAAGCCAUAGGGAAGUUCCGUUUCAAAGGUGCACUUGUGCGCCGUCUGGGCGAAAGGGAAGCCGGUCAAUAUUCCGGCACCUGGAUGUGGGUUUUUCGCGGCAACGCAACUGAACGCGGAGACGACGGCGGGGGCCCCGAGCAGAGUUCUCUUUUCUUCUUAACAGUCUGUCACCCUGAAAUCGGUUUGUCCGGAGCUAGGGUUUAAUGGCUGGAAGAGCGGCACCUCUGCCGGGUUCGGUGCGCUCCCGACGUCCCUUGAAAAUCCGCGGGAGGGAAUAAUUCUCACGCCAGGUCGUACUCAUAACCGCAGCAGGUCUCCAAGGUGAACAGCCUCUGGUUGAUAGAACAAUGUAGAUAAGGGAAGUCGGCAAAAUAGAUCCGUAACUUCGGGAUAAGGAUUGGCUCUAAGGGUUGGGUGCGUUGGGCCUCGGGGGGACGCCUUGGGAGCAGGCAGCCACUAGCCGGGCAACCGUCGGCGGCCGCAGCAUCCGAGCGCUGAAUCCCUUGGCAGGCUUCGGCCGUCCGGCGCACGAUUAACAACCAACUUAGAACUGGUACGGACAAGGGGAAUCUGACUGUCUAAUUAAAACAUAGCAUUGCGAUGGCCAGAAAGUGGUGUUGACGCAAUGUGAUUUCUGCCCAGUGCUCU